GGACCAUCAUGUCGGUCGUGCCUCGGUACGUACUGGUAUUGUUGGUUUCUCCCUUCUGAAGAACCAUGAUGUCAUUUAUUUGGUGUUGUGGGGAAUUUGGACUGUUACUUUGAAAAAAUUAGAGUGUUUAAAGCAAGCUAACGCUUGAAUACAUUAGCAUGGAAUAAUAAAAUAGGACGUGCGGUUCUAUUUUGUUGGUUUCUAGAGUCGCCGUA
rnacentral:rRNA from 1 species